GUGGUUUCAGUGGUUUUUUUAAAGCAGUGCAACCUGAGAGCCCAGAGAUCGUGGCCUGGUCCCCAGUGUGCGGCGAUUUCUCUAAAUCUUUUAAUGACACUAUUUGGGGGUGAAAGGAGGAUGAUCUCCAGGUUGUCAUUCAUCCCUGUUGGACAAAGACUCUCAGCCUUUGCAGGACAUCCUGACCUUUAGUGAUAGAUUGCUUCACCCAAACUGUGGGACUUUAACGCUCCGACAGAUUCUCCCUCCAUUUGUUGCUCUCAGAAGUUCACA